rnacentral:rRNA from 1 species
UACGGGGGGUGCGAGCGUUGUCCGGAAUCACUGGGCGUAAAGGGCGCGUAGGCGGCAAAUUAAGUCAGCUGUGAAAUCUCCGAGCUUAACUCGGAACUGUCAGCUGAUACUGAUCUGCUAGAGUGCGGAAGGGGCAAUCGGAAUUCUUGGUGUAGCGGUGAAAUGCGUAGAUAUCAAGAGGAACACCUGAGGUGAAGACGGGUUGCUGGGCCGACACUGACGCUGAGUGCGCGAAAGCCAGGGGAGCAAACGGG